AUGGAAACGCAUGAGCCUUCUGGUCAUCGUCUCAGCGACUGGGUUCAUGGAGGGCAGCAGCACGUCGUCUCCUGGAGCGAUAUCAUUAGUGGGAUAGGCCGUAGCCUUUUCAUCAAAUGCCUCCUACGGCUGUCCAGGUCAGACUAUGGUUCCGUGGCAUGCUUGAACCGCGACUUCAAUUUGCUGGUCCGCAGUGGGGAGAUCUACUGCUUGCGUCGCAACAACGGCGUAGCGGAGUAUUGGCUCUACUUCUCCUGCAACCCUCUGCAGUGGGAUGCUUACGACCCGCACCGUGGGCGCUGGAUCCAAGUGCCCAAGAUACCACCAGACAAAUGCUUCAUGUGCUCUGACAAGGAGUCCCUUGCUGUCGGAACCGAGCUGUUGGUGUUUGGGAUGGCACACAUUGUGUACAGAUAUAGCAUCCUAACCAAUUCAUGGACAAGGGCUGAUCCGAUGAACUCGCCGCGGUGCCUGUUCGGAUCGACAAGUGUCGGUGAAAAGGCAUAUGUUGCGGGGGGCAGCGAUUCUUCUGGAAGAAUACUGAGCUCCGCGGAGAUGUAUGACUCGGAGACACAUACUUGGACACCCCUUCCUUGCAUGAAUAAGGCUAGGAAGUUGUGUUCUGGCACAUUCAUGGAUGGAAAGUUCUUUGUGAUUGGUGGUGUUACCAACAACAACAAGGUGUUGGCAUGUGGUGAGGAAUAUGACUUGGAGUGGCGGUCUUGGAGGGUCAUCAACAACAUGUCCGAGGGCCUCUAUGGAGUGGCAGGUGCUCCUCCACUUAUUGCCGCUGUCAACAAUCAGCUUUAUGUAGCUGAUUACAGUGACAAGGAUGUGAAGAGAUAUGACAAGCUGAAUAAUAGGUGGAUCACUCUUGGAAAAUUGCCUGAACAAUGCGUGUCAAACGAUUCUUGCGGCAUUGCUUUCAGAGCCUGUGGUGAUCGGCUGGUUGUCAUUGGAGGUCCUAGGACUUAUACUGGUGGCACGAUUGAGCUACAUUCAUGGAUCCCGGAUCAGCAACCGCCUGUGUGGAAUUUGGUUGCUAAACGGUCAUCCAAGAGCUUCGUUUAUAACAUGGCCGUGAUGGGUUGCUGA
rnacentral:rRNA from 1 species